UUUAAUGGAAAUCACUCUGCUUUUAUCCAUCUGUCUCUAUUGUUCAGGAGACCAAGCCUGCUUGACCUGCUCUGUGGAAGAGAGUGACAUUGAGAACAUGACUUAGUAUGAAAGGGCCAGUAUAGCUGUCACUAAUUAACCUUUCUUUUUUAAUAUUAAGUUAAUUUUGAAACUUGUACUGCUGAAUCACACCUCUGUUAGAUUUCCACUCUUCCUUCCCCAUCUCACAAACUCCUCUUCCUCCUGAGCUUUUUCCCUGGCACAUGUGGCUCUUCCAUGUACAAUGCCAAGAUGUCAUGGACAUGAAACAGGUACCACAAGCCUCUGGAGCAUGUCAGAGAUACCCACAGCAUGCAUUGGCAGAGCAGAGCCUCACACACAGAAAUAAAAUUUCACUCUAUUCUUGUUCUCCAAAACUGGAUUGUUGAGGAUAAAACUUAUCCCAGAACCAUGUUAUAUAAGAGAGAGGAAUUUUCUUGUGGGAAGAUGUGCUAAUAUUCAUUUGACUGAGAGUCCAGGGGGGAAGAGGACCUGUGUUAGGUUCAGAUAUUAUUUCAUGCCAGAGAUCAGAUCCCAUGCAGAGCUCAGAGCACUGCACCUGAUUUUCCUGUCACGGGCACCAGCUCCCACACUGGUCUGCCAAUGCCACAUGGAUGUAGAAUCUCCAUGAGAGGAGGUUUUCCACUGCCCAAAGUGCUAAUAUUACAUUUUUGAUGAUCACUGUCCUGUUUUCCACAGUUUCUUUCCAGCAACUUUGGGCUCAGACAGUCCUGCAGAAUUUCCAGUUUCCCCUGUUAGACAUGAAAUCUCCCAGCUGAGCUCUGAGGGUUUCCUACCCCAUCAGGGAGUCUGGUUAUUUCUGCUUAUGUCUCUGAUCACAUAAAUCUAUCCAUUUCAAAUCUAUCCAUUUCUCUACUCGAUGAUGUCUUUCAUCCCCUUAAAAACAAAUACAAGACAUCGUUGGUCCUCAUUAUUUAAUUUUCAAGGACUAUACAUUGAUCGUUAAAUAAAGUUGUCAGGGGUGAAUUAACUCAUCCCCACUCUUGCAAACUUACAAAUUAAGUUGAAAGAGACCUUAGCUUUUGAAUAUUGUUCCAGCACCAACUGUCUUCCAACUCAAACCUGUCUGCACUGUCACAACCUGUGAUCUCUGCACACUCCUUGUUUUGUUUGGAUCAUGUUUAACCCCAAUUUGUGCUGAAACGGAGCCACGCACGAGGCGUCAUGGAUAUGGGCACAGUGAUGGACAGAUCCAGAUGGUAAUUCCAGGCAUGGAGAAGGGUCAGGAAGCACACAGUUACCCCCAUCAGCCAGGAGCUCAUCUUCUCACAGACUGGACUACUUAGGAGGGAGCGCACGGUUAAUGUGGAAAUUAAUUCGGGGUCGUGACGAAGCAGAAGGGAGCUGCUGCACGUUUGAAUGCAUCUUCUCUCCUUGUUUCUUUGCAUAAAUAUCAUCCUGGCAAUAUCUCAGUUGUGGUUCACACACUGUGGCAUGGACACCUGCCAGCAUCACCAGCACCAUCUUUGCAGAUGGGGAAAAACAGAGACAAAAUCAUACUGGAGUUACACAGUGCCACUCAGCAAGGCCAUGGGAGGUGGAGAAGUAGAAAGACAUCUUUGCUUUGCUAUGACCAGGUGGAGGAGAGGUGAAGUAAAUUCAUUCUGAGCAGAAUAAAAUCAGAAUGGUUGGA